CAGUAAUUUACGUCAGUAUCGGACCGAUACCGAUAUGUAAUAUCGGAUCGGUCCAUCUCUACUCUAGAGUUCCUUUUAAAUCUGAAGAGGUGAGUAGAGACCAUCUCUUCCAGUGCGUCUCAGUGCAGUUGUUUUGUUUUGUACCUAUGUGUGAUUACCGUUCAGAUCUGGGGAGGGAAUGAACCUAUAAAGUUCUAUAUAUCUAUUUAAACAGACAAAACAGUGCAGGUGUGACAACACAAAUCUAGAUUUUAGAUGUGGAUGUGGCAGAGUGUAGCUAAUUGUCUCUCUGUGUUAGCUCUGUAAUGGACUGGCCACAGUUCCAGGGUGAAUCCAGGCCUGUGACAGCUGAGAAAGGCUCAAGUCGCUCAAUUCAAACUUCUCUCAAUCACGCUGAUCCAAUAAUUUUCUUGUGAGCCUUCUGAGAGCGAAUCUGACUCUUUUCCCUGUGUUUUAAAUCUCAGUGCUAUUCUGUUAUUCCACUUUUCAGACCCUCAUUUGUGUGACCCACCUUCUCCCCAUCUCCACCUAAUCCCUCAGAGAACCUCAUCAGUGUCUCCAGCUGUAUCUCCAACUUAACCAGCAUCUAGACUCAGGGUUCCUGUCCUACUUGGUUGCAUUUUUGAAACUUUGUUCUGCUAUGUUGCUUAUCUGGGUCCAAUUACAUAAUAGCUUAUUAUACAAGCUGUGCUUUAUUAAAUUUGUUGUAUUCUUCCACAUCACCUCAACGUUUUCUAACACACUUAUAAACUAUACUAUGUAUCAGCACUAUCUAAAGAGUUAUUUCUAAAACUAAUUGUUUCUUUUUUAAGUUUAUGGGCUCAUUUAUGUUUUUGUAAGUGUGUGUCUAUGUGCACUUACCUUGCUCUAGAACCUUUUAUGGCAUAGCAACACUAAACCUUGACCUCACUUAGCACUGUUUACCAAAAUAGCGGUAGGGUUGUCGUCACCUUUACAACAUUUUUAUGCUAGUCCAACCCCUUUCAUGCCUUAAUGCCCUGCUGUCCUCUUUUUCCUCCCACGGCUGAGGUUACCUGGUCAGGUGGUCAAAUAAAAGGGAUAAAUACCUAAACCCAAAGCUCUAUUCUGAGAACAAGACAAAAAGUACAGGCUUGCACUCGCAUUCAAACAGUCGCUUAAGCUUUGCUUCCACCAAAAGGCUUAACAGCAGUUACUGCUCAUCAUUCAUUCUUCAACUCAUCAAAGAGAAAAAGAGUUUUAGCAACAGGAGAGCAGCCGAGAGGUUGCUAUUAAAGGAUCAGCUAUGCUUGGAGGCAUACGUACAGAUUUGGUGGUCACAGUGGCUGUUCUCUUUCUAACUCAGACAGGGACUCAAUGCAGAGCUGAAAAUGACUUCCUAUCAGUUACUUUACCAGAGUGGAGGGCACAUUCAGAAUACGUUAUACAGUGUUUUGAUGACAGACAUGCCAAUCUGAACUGUGAGUGGCCGGCGAGUGAAAAAGGAGCAGGGGAUUUUGCAGUGAAUGUUUCAGAGAGUGGUCCACUAGGGAUUGAGGGCCAGGCUUGUCUAGAGUUCUGGUACCUUGUCCCAGUUGCAGCUAAUGGGUCUGAACUUCGUGUCUUGCUAAAAAACAGCGUUGGUUCAGUAGAAAUCUGGACCUCUCCUGCUCUCCCUCAGAAUGAAUGGAGGCAAGCGUUUGUGCCCCUGAACAUCACUGAGUCCAGGACUCGGGUUGUGUUUGAAGUGGUUCAAGGAUUGUCCAUAGAGAAAGAGAUCACAUUUAAACAGAUAGGUGUAAGAAAAGGCUCCUGUGGACGACAGUGUGAAUCAAACGCAGAGAUAUGGACAGAUGAGACCACCCGCUGCCUCUGUUCUGCUGGCCAACUCUCCUGCUUUCCCUCUCACUGCCCUGAAGGCCAACUCUGUGGUCCUCAAAGAAGAGGCCCCAAUGGGACUUCUACCUUUGGGAUGUGCACUAUACACAGUCACGCAGACGGCAGCACUUUUGAUGGAGUAUUGUUCCGCUUCACGACCGCCUGCACUUAUGUUCUGGCUAAGACCUGCUCACCCACUGAAACUCUGCCCAUGUUCGCUGUGGAAGUGGUCAAUGAGCAGAAUGAUAACACAUCUCUGCCAGAGGUCCAGAAGAUCAAUAUUAACAUGAGGAUUUACAGGGUGUCUCUGCUGAAAAGCCAAACAGACCGGGUUGUGAUUAAUGGGAUCUGGAGAAAGCUUCCACUAAGCCUUAACAGCGACACUGUCAACAUCAGGAGCACCCCUACCACUAUUGUGCUGGCAACCACUUUUGGUCUUACAGUCUCAUUUGACAGCACUGGUGUGGUCCACAUCACCCUCCCAUCAACCUAUUCUGAUAAAGUCUGUGGCAUGUGUGGCAACUUUAACCACCUCAAAGAAGAUGACUUUAGGAACCUCGAUUCACAAAACGCAACAGCUUUGGCUGGAAGCUGGCAGACUGGGAAAACUGCCUCUUCCUGUGAAACCAUUCUAUUCCCUCAGUGUGACCCACUGGAGGAGGCACAGUAUGCCAGCGAGCUGUACUGUGGAGGCUUAUUCUCUACUACUGGUCCCUUUGCUGACUGCUUAUCAGUUGUAGGGGCAGACAGCUAUAUCAGAGGCUGCGUGUUUGCCAUGUGUUCUACUCAUGGUGACCAAGCCGUGCUAUGUGAGACGCUACAGGUCUAUAUUGAUAUCUGCAAUAAAGCUGGCAUUGCAGUACCCAUGUUGAGGAACUCCACAAUCUGCCCCAUUCAGUGCGGUGAGAACAGCCACUAUAACUCGUGUGCUGAUGGCUGUCCCGAGGUGUGCUCCAGUCUGGAUAUAGCUGGCUCCUGUGGAAGCUGUGAGGCAAGAUGUGAGUGUGAUUCUGGCUUCAAACUCAGUGGGGAAAAGUGUGUCCCAGCAGAAGACUGCGGGUGCUGGUAUAAUGGAAAACACUAUGAGAAAGGAGAAACACUGGUGGAAGGAGAUUGUGUGCAACAGUGUCAGUGUAUGGGUAAUAACAAUAUGCAGUGCACUCAAAUGCAAUGUGCAGACAAUGAAGUUUGUAAGGUUAAAGAUGGGGUCAAAGGCUGCUUCCUUUUCAAACCCACCACCUGCAGUGUGUACGGUGAUCCACACUACAUCACCUUUGACGGUCUGGCAUAUGACUUUCAAGGGGGAUGCAGUUACAUAUUGACCACCACAUGUGGUGGAGGAAGCUCAGUCCAGUUCACAGUAUCUGGACACAACACCCACCCCCCCCUUCAGAACUUCACCAGAUCCAAGCUUCAAGCCGUGGCUCUCCAAGUCGAGGAUCUGUAUCUCAUCUUGAAUCAAAGCGGAGAGGUCUAUGUCAGUUAUAAGCAAGUCCAACUGCCAUAUUCCACCAGCGGGACAUAUGGCUCAGUAUGGGUGUAUGUGAAGAAUAAUCAUAUCAUCUUGGAGACAACUUUUGGCUUCAAAAUGCACAUAGAUGGAGAGAACAGACUGUUUCUGCAGGUGGAUGAGCACUACAAAUAUGAACUGUGUGGUCUGUGUGGCACAUUUUCUGGAUACCAGGACGAUGACUUUGUAACUCCAGGAGGCCAAAACGUGUCAGAAGCGUUUGAGUUUGGUGACAGCUGGAGGGUCCCAAACAACUCUGAAUGUUUAGCUCGUCCAAACAAUCCAAGACUCUGUGACAAGGAUGAGAGGGAUACAGCCUACAAUGAGUGUUCAGUGCUGUUUGGCAGUGUUUUCAUGCCCUGUCAUGAACACAUUCACCCAAGCAUUUACCUCAAUAGUUGUGUGUAUGACUACUGUGCUACGAGCGGCGACCAACACACACUCUGUGAAUCUCUGAAGUCCUAUGCAACAGCAUGCCAGGUUUCAGGAGUUGAACUUCCAAAUUGGCAGACUGGCACAGCAUGUGAAGGCCUUUCUACCUCAACAGCUCCUCCAACAACUGCUUCUCCAACACCAGAUCAAACUUUUUGUCCCUUGAACUGCAAUUUUGAAAAAGAUCUGUGUGGGUGGGAGCAGCUUAUGCAGGACACUUUUGAUUGGACAAAACACUCUGGACCCACACCAACAAAUUUAACAGGUCCAAACCAAGACCACACCACUGGAGCUGGUUUCUACAUGUACCUUGAGGGAGACAGUGUAACUCAUGGAGACUCUGCCCGUUUGAUGAGCUCGGCGUGUAAUUUUAACGGACCACUCUGCCUGUAUUUCUGGUACCAUAUGUAUGGUUCAGCCACAGCCAUGGCUCUUAAUAUCCACCUGCUGAAAGACAGUAAAACAACAAAGCUCUGGUCCAUGAUGGACAACCAGGGACCAGAAUGGCAUCUGGGAAGAGCUGAUGUCAAAGUGUCUGGUCCAUUCCAAAUUAUAAUAGAAGGAAUUCGAGGCUCUAAUUAUCAGUCAGAUGUGGCCAUAGAUGACAUAUCUGUCCAUUUUGGCUCAUGUUCAGGUAGCUUUCCAGCCCUGGGAAGUGGAACUAAGCCUUCUACAACUACAGAAAUGCUCCCCUUACACCAAAUCUGCAAUCUUGACUGCAACUUUGAAAGCAACCUUUGUAGCUGGGACCAGACGAUUACGGAUGCUUUUGACUGGACCUGGCAAAGAGGUUCUACCCCCACUUUAAUGACGGGGCCCUCUGCUGACCACACUGGUGAUGGCCACUAUCUUUACAUUGAAGCCAACAGUGCAUCGUAUGGAGACACAGCUCGUCUCAUCAGCUCUGAGUGCUCUGACUCUGGACCUCAGUGUCUGCAGUUCUGGUACCAUAUGUAUGGCUCAGCAGAUACAAUGGGCCUCCAUGUUUACCUGCUCCAAAACAGAAUAGCCAAUCAGGUUUGGAGGAAGCAGAAUGACCAAGGAAAUAUGUGGCACCUGGCUCAAGUGGACAUUGAACCAACCACACCUUUUCAGAUCAUUAUUGAGGGGCGCAGAGGAUCCAAUGAUGAGUCAGAUGUGGCCAUAGAUGAUUUGAAGCUUUAUCACGGCCGCUGCUCAGAUCUGGUAGGUGGAAUUACAACACAGUCAGCUAGACCUGAUCUUAAUACCACAGCGCCCCCAAGUGUCCCUGUCCAAACCAAUGCAGCUCCACAGCCUCCUAUGCUCACUGCUACCUUCCAACCACCGAUAAUAAAUAUCACUGUCCCUCCCGUAGUGGAGGAAACAACCAACUUAAUUAAUAAGAACAAUGUUACUGAAGCUCCAGAUAGCCGGCCACCUCUGCAGCCAGUGUGCCAAUUCCACUGUAAUUUUGAGCAAGAUUUAUGUCAGUGGAAUCAGUUGAUCACAGAUGCUUUUGAUUGGACAAGAAACAGUGGCUCCACUCCUACUAUCAAUACAGGACCUUCUACAGAUCACACCACAGGAGGUGGCCACUAUCUUUACAUUGAAGCCAACAGUGCAUCGUAUGGAGACACAGCUCGUCUCAUCAGCUCUGAGUGCUCUGACUCUGGACCUCAGUGUCUGCAGUUCUGGUACCAUAUGUAUGGCUCAGCAGAUACAAUGGGCCUCCAUGUUUACCUGCUCCAAAACAGAACAGCCAAUCAGGUUUGGAGGAAGCAGAAUGACCAAGGAAAUAUGUGGCACCUGGCUCAAGUGGACAUUGAACCAACCACACCUUUUCAGAUCAUUAUUGAGGGGCGCAGAGGGUCCAAUGAUGAGUCAGAUGUGGCCAUAGAUGAUUUGAAGCUUUCUCAGGGCCGCUGCUCAGAUCUGGUAGGUGGAAUUACAACACAGUCAGCUAGACCUGAUCUUAAUACCACAGCGCCCCCAAGUGUCCCUGUCCAAACCAAUGCAGCUCCACAGCCUCCUAUGCUCACUGCUACCUUCCAACCACCGAUAAUAAAUAUCACUGUCCCUCCCGUAGUGGAGGAAACAACCAACCUAAUUAACAAGAACAAUGUUACUGAAGCUCCAGAUAGCCGGCCACCUCUGCAGCCAGCAUGCCAGAUGCACUGUGAUUUUGAGCAAGAUUUAUGUCAGUGGAAUCAGAUGAUAACUGAUGCUUUUGAUUGGACAAGACAGAGUGGCUCCACUCCUACGAUCAAUACUGGACCAUCUUCAGAUCACACCACAGGAGGUGGCCACUAUCUUUACAUUGACGCCAACAGUGCAUCAUAUGGAGACACAGCGCGUUUCAUCAGCUCUGAGUGCUCUGACUCUGGACCUCAGUGUCUGCAGUUCUGGUACCAUAUGUACGGCUCAGCAGACACAAUGGGACUCCAUGUUUACCUGCUCCAAAACAGAAUAGCCAAUCAGAUUUGGAGGAAGCAGAAUGACCAAGGAAAUAUGUGGCACCUGGCUCAGGUGGACAUUACAGCAACAGACACUUUCCAGAUUAUAUUUGAAGGACGAAGAGGUUCGAAUACUCAGUCUGAUGUGGCAGUAGAUGAUGUGUCACUUUAUCAUGGGCGCUGUGCAGAACUGGUCAAUCCAACAACAACUACAACUCAGUCAAAGCCGGAAACAACAGCUGGGCCACAACCAUCAACCACAACUCAACUAAAGCCGGAAACAACAGCUGGGCCACAACCAUCAACCACAACUCAACUAAAGCCGGAAACAACAGCUGGGCAACAACCAUCAACCACAGUUGGACCCCAGCCCACAACAAAUAAACCGCAAUCUACAACAACAGCAAGACCGCAACAAACAACCCUGACGGUACCAACACCAAUUUGCCCACGGUAUAGUCACUAUACCACUUGUGUCCCUGCAUGUAGUCCAACCUGUUUUUUCUUGAAUGGCCCACCACAUUGUAGUGACAAUGAGGUUUGUGUUCCUGGAUGUGUGUGCGACGAUGGCUUUGUCAUGAAAAUGAAGAUUUGUGUGCCUCUGGAACAAUGUGGCUGUGUGGACAAGAAUGGCACCAAACACCAAUUCAAUGAACAGUGGUACACAGAUCACUGCAGUCAGAAAUGUGAAUGUGAGAAGGAUGACGGAAUAGGAAAGAUUGACUGUGAUGAUGAAGAUGAAUGUGAUGGAAAUGCUGUCUGCCUUCAAAAUGAAAAGGGCAAUUAUUACUGCCAGUCUACAGACUUCGAUGAGUGUACGAUCAAGAAGGACCCUGAAUAUAAAACAUUUGAUAAAAUGAAGCAUGACUUUGAAGGUGAACACUCUUACGUGCUGGUGAGGACCAGCAACUUGCCAAACAACCUUCCAGACAUCUACAUUGAAAGCAUCAACACGCCCGUCUUAGAUCAGGGCGGUGAUAGUCAGCAUGAAAAUGACAGCAGCAGUGAAGAAGAGCAGAAGAGCAGGGAAGGUGAUGAUGAUGACGAUGAUGACGAUGACAGCAAAGAACAUGACGAGCACCACAGAUUACAAGAGCUUAAGAUCAGAGUGUACAAUCACACUGUGGAGUUCAAGAAGAAUCGGAAACUGAUCGUGGAUGGAAAACCUACAGAAAUGCCCGUCUCAGUGACUGGUGGUCUAAAGAUCUCAAAGCGUUCCUCUCAUAUCUACCUACAAACUGAUUUUGGCUUGUCAGUGGCAUUUAAUGGACACCAUUCAGCAGAGAUUACUCUACCACACAUUUAUAGAAGGAAGGUGGGAGGCCUGUGUGGAAACUUUGAUGCUCAGAGAAAAAAUGACAGGAUGAAGCCAGAUGGUACCAUAGCCAGAAGCACUCAAGAGUUUGGAGAGAGCUGGAGAGUGUGAAUGCCAGAUGAAACACUGUCUUUGAAUGUGGAUGAGUUUAAUCACUAUCAGUUACAUAAAACUCCAUAUGGAUAAAAAAGAACAGAUGAGUGUAAUGAUUUUGGCUUUUCUUCGUUAGCCAGCAAGUGUUGUCUUUACCUAGCUUUUUAGGGCUAUGUUUUCUGAAUAUCAGCAUAUCUAUUUUUUCAUGAAUGUUUAGAUACCUAUCUUUUUCUUAUUAUUUCUACAUAUAUUUGAUAUAAUCGUUGUACUCUACAUGUAAAUUGAGCUAUUAUUCUCAUUGGAUAAUAUAAAAAAUUUUAAAAGUAUGUGGUGAAUGAUCACAUUUCAUAAGGUGUUUUUGACUUCCUGCAUUGUUGAAGGUUUCUGAUGAACUUACUACUCUAAUAAAAGUGGACUGUAAGGACAUUUGUGUUUCUUUGUGUGCAGCCAUUUGGUCCCAAGUUUACGUGUACAUUUUUAAGGUACAACCCAUUAACCACCUGCAGUACAGCAGGAACACCAACCCAAACAAAGGAAAAACAAAUAACACAAAACCUGUAACAUGAUACGGAUAAGGAAGGUAAUUGUUUUUUUUCUAGCAAACAAUAGGACUGUUCUUGCUUGAAAAGCUCGUCUGUAUCUGUAUGAGGGCAUGUUUAUGUGGAAUCCUUACUCUCAAGUGUUGCAACACCACAUAGAGCCAUGGAUGUGUUUGUUCUGUGCAUUUUUCUUUUCUUAAGGUUUCUCUGUGAUGGUAAGUGAAGCUAUGCCUACUGGCUACUAUUUAACAGUUUCAAAAAGUUAUGGCACAAUUAUUUCAUACUAAAAAAAUGUAUUUGAGACAUUACAUAUACUUUCAAACUGCUGUUUUAACAAGAGUAGAACCUACUUUUAGAUCCUUUAGAUUUUUUUAAUUAGUUGAUGUGUUUUCAGGUGGAUCCUCUUUAAUGUUACUGAUAGUUUGAGUUCAUGUCCCUGGAUAUAUAGGUGAAUGCAUGGUCAAUAAUUCUGGUAUUGCUGGAUUUCACUUAAGUAGCUAACAAAAACAGCAAGCAAACUAUUCUAACUAGUAAAGAUUAGACUGAGUUUGUAAGCAUUAACACUACUAAUUUUAUGGUUUGGAGCUUGAGGCUGCUAUUAGUGACAGAUGAUGAUAUUUACUUCCCUGUGCUGAGCCUCCUUUAGCUGGUUCUAGUGCUCGAAUACAUAUCUCAGGAAUGGACUGAGUAGAUCUGAAUUUCUAAAUAUCUAUCAUGGUGCUUGAGCUGAUGCUGAUGCCAAGGCCAUUAUGCUACAGUCUGGCAAUGUACAGAUGCAGAAGAACCUUCAAACUGGCAGGAAAGUAAUAUCAUUACUAUGUAUUUAAGUCCUUGUACUUUUGGUACCUGUUUGGCAAGAAAAAUUAAGUCAUAACUGUAUGUUAAGAAUAUGUAUUUAAAAUUUAACAUGUUUCUUUAAUAUAAAUGUGUUUUUAUAUUGUUGUCAUUGUCUUUCCAUUUUUCUAGCCCAAAUACCAGCUCCAACUACUAAACCAACAGACUGUGCAGGUCCACCAGUGCUAUGCUGCCCUGGACAAAACUCCAGUUGUUUCAGGGGAUGUUACUGUGAUCAGAUAUGUCUGACAUUUGGUGACUGCUGCCGUGACUACAGAUCAACCUGUACAGAAUUUCUGACCCAAGUACCAACAAGAAAACAAGCCACUGGAAACAACAAUAUAAUAUAUACAGAUACAAACAUCACCACACCAGUGCUCAAUGCAGCAUCCACACUUAAUGUCAGCACAGCCUCAGCAUCCACAGUGCCAAUAUCUACAGCAACCAACCAGACAAGCAGUGAUACAUCUACACUAGCAAUUAAGAAAACAUCUUCAGUCAUCUCCACUGCAACAGCGGGCACCACCACUACGCUAGCAGAUAUCGAAACAACCUCAGUCUUUGAUUCUACACCAACCAGCCAAAAAAGCAGCACUACUGCAUCUAUUCCUUUAGAUGACCUCAUAACAUCAGUCUCCACUGUUGCAGGAAGUGGAAACACUGCUGGCAUUUCCAACAAAAACACGGAUUCCACAACUGACACAAGCUCAGACAAAGAUUUCCAAGCAGUGACUUUUCAUCUAAAAGCUUCACUUUCAUCCUCUGAUCGGGAUAACAAAGAUGUGAUCUUAGAGGCUUUAUCCAGUUUCCUGUCCAACAUCCUUCUCCAGUUGAACUGUGAGCGCUGUGUCCUCAAGGUUCAACACGUCAAACCCACCUGAGAAAUGGGAUUUGCAGCAGUCACUGCAGGCAGGAUACGGCACCAGCUAUACUCUGACAAUAAACUGCAAAAUUCUCAACAACAAAUUAAUUUUUUGAAAUUACAUAAGAUUCAAGAUAUCAGAGGCUUGAAAGUCGAUGCUUCAAGGUUAAUAGCAUGGGCUUUUCAGUUUUAUAAUACUAACAGUCACAUUUAACACCAGGUAGUUGAAACGUGUGAGAUAGUGCAUAUCUCACUGCACAUGCCAUAACUUACAAAUACAGUACCAUACUAUUAAAUGUGAAUCCCAUUAGCUUGUGUGUUGUGUUUGAGAUAAUAAAAAGCCCCGAUCCUGGCAACAGUAAAGAUACUGUUUUUGUUACAGGAGGAUGCCAAAGAUAAACGUUAGCUGCUGUUUAAAAAAAAGAUCCAAAGAGCUGGACAGCCUGACUGUAUGCUAAAAUUAAUAGUUAUCUAAUAAAUUAAUCAUGAUCGUCAGAGAGGAUUUGAAUUACUAUUUUUAUUUUAAUUCUUAUCAAUUUUGAAAUGACUUUUGGCAUAUGGGAUAUGCCAAAAAAACCAAAAACAAACGUCUACUCAGAAAACAACCUGGCUGUGCUACAGACAGUCUUUCUGCUAAAUGAUUAAAUCUGUGUCACCGUGUUGUCAUUCAUUUGUAGCUGUAAUAGCAUUCCCUACAUGUGUACAGUCUGCAAUCAGUCAUGUAUCUGUGCAAUCUCCUCAUGUUUACAGCAUGUCAAGGUAACUAUACUUUGGCAUUGCGCCAGAGUCUGUGUGUGUUAACCAGACUUAUCAGUCAGGAAUUGGUUUGCAUCUGAUCCUGAUCCUUUGCAGACUCUCUUGGCAAGUAAAAUAUCUUUGAAUUUAAUAUUUAAAAGCAGCAUGACUCAGUACUGGUACUGCCAAGUUUUGGUAUUUUUCAUAAAUCUAAAUGGCAAAGGAGCGCCAUUAACCUGAAGACGUGGAUAAUGUGUAUAGACUACAAGAAGUCAAAUUAAUAAAUUAUUUACUCACAGAUGCCAACAGGCUCAAUAAAUUGAUCCUCAAGGCACAUUAUGGGGAGCUGGACUCUCUUAAAGUGGUGUUGGAGAGGCAGGUUGGACAGUACAAUGCUGGAUAUCUCCAUGAUGUGCUAAACAGUCACAGGAGCAAUACUGAACUGCACAGGAAAUCCUUUCUCCCUCGCCUACAAUUCCUCCAUCUAAAGCACAAGUACACAGUGCAAUAGUUGCUCACCCUCUACAGAGAAAAUAGCAAGUGAAAUUUGGUGAGAGGGGCACCUUGUUGUGGAAAAAGGAGUUAAAACCUGUGUAAAGUGGUCAAUUACCAUCAGACAAAAUAAUAACAGCUCCUUUAAAACCAUCCUGUGGAUACAAUCUUUAUCUGUUCAGUGGUAGGAAGCUCAUUCCCCACAGUCAUGUAGGCACCGGCCUGAUAAUGAAGACACAUAGAGUAGGCCAUGACCUUGAACACAGUUUAUAACUAGUUUGUUUCUAAAUCUUCAUACUCUUGCUUGGUUCAGGAAAGUUACAGCUACAUAUCAGUACGGUUAAAUAAGGUGAAACACAAAUAUUCAUUCACACACCUCAAUGUCAACCAUAUUUAAUUUUUUGCAAUAUAGUGGGAUAGUUAUAAUUAGAGCUAUUUUUUUAACUCCAUAAUUUGUUGUAUUACUUACUGUCUAGGAGCAACUGUGACAAUUUGAUUACUUCUGGGAUUAAUGAAGUGCUCGGAUUCUGAUAGGUUAAUCUAGCAUUACUUCACUUCAUGUUUUGUAUGUAUUCCAAUUGCUGUGCAUUAUUAUCAAUCUUCUGUUUGCCUAAUAGACUUGAUUUGUUAUGCUUGUGUAGUUUUCAAUUAUUAGAUCAGUCUAAAUAUGCAGAAGUACAAAACUGUUGAUAUGAAAGUUGAUAUAACAGGAAACUGAGCUGUGAGGCUUCACACAGUUGCACAUAGUCAAUGUGAUGAAAACAUAUUUACUAUUUUUAAAUGCAAGUGAUGAAAAGUUUAGAAGCCAAUUCUGUAUUGAUAUCCAAGUUGCAGAAACAAUUUAACUU